AGGCAUUCACAAGGUGUAAUCAUUAUGAGUUAUUUACUCAUGAUAUUAAAGGCAUUCACAAGGUGUAAUCAUUAUGAGUUAUUUACUCAUGAUAUUAAAGGCAUUCACAAGGUGUAAUCAUUAUGAGUUAUUUACUCAUGAUAUUAAAGGCAUUCACAAGGUGUAAUCAUUAUGAGUUAUUUACUCAUGAUAUUAAAGGCAUUCGCAAGGUGUAAUCAUUAUGAGUUAUUUACUCAUGAUAUUAAAGGCAUUCACAAGGUGUAAUCAUUAUGAGUUAUUUACUCAUGAUAUUAAAGGCAUUCGCAAGGUGUAAUCAUUAUGAGUUAUUUACUCAUGAUAUUAAAGGCAUUCACAAGGUGUAAUCAUUAUGAGUUAUUUACUCAUGAUAUUAAAGGCAUUCACAAGGUGUAAUCAUUAUGAGUUAUUUACUCAUGAUAUUAAAGGCAUUCACAAGGUGUAAUCAUUAUGAGUUAUUUACUCAUGAUAUUAAAGGCAUUCACAAGGUGUAAUCAUUAUGAGUUAUUUACUCAUGAUAUUAAAGGCAUUCGCAAGGUGUAAUCAUUAUGAGAUAUUUACUCAUGAUAUUAAAGGCAUUCGCAAGGUGUAAUCAUUAUGAGUUAUUUACUCAUGAUAUUAAAGGCAUUCACAAGGUGUAAUCAUUAUGAGUUAUUUACUCAUGAUAUUAAAGGCAUUCGCAAGGUGUAAUCAUUAUGAGUUAUUUACUCAUGAUAUUAAAGGCAUUCGCAAGGUGUAAUCAUUAUGAGUUAUUUACUCAUGAUAUUAAAGGCAUUCGCAAGGUGUAAUCAUUAUGAGUUAUUUACUCAUGAUAUUAAAGGCAUUCACAAGGUGUAAUCAUUAUGAGUUAUUUACUCAUGAUAUUAAAGGCAUUCGCAAGGUGUAAUCAUUAUGAGUUAUUUACUCAUGAUAUUAAAGGCAUUCACAAGGUGUAAUCAUUAUGAGUUAUUUACUCAUGAUAUUAAAGGCAUUCGCAAGGUGUAAUCAUUAUGAGUUAUUUACUCAUGAUAUUAAAGGCA